rnacentral:rRNA from 1 species
AUUGAACGCUGGCGGCAGGCCUAACACAUGUAAGUCGAGCGGGGUUUUCGGACCUAGCGGCGGACGGGUGAGUAAUGCGUAGGAAGCUGCCCGAUAGAGGGGGAUACCAGUUGGAAACGACUGUUAAUACCGCAUAAUGUCUACGGACCAAAGUGUGGGACCUUCGGGCCACAUGCUAUCGGAUGCGCCUACGUGGGAUUAGCUAGUUGGUGAGGUAAUGGCUCACCAAGGCGACGAUCUCUAGCUGGUUUGAGAGGAUGAUCAGCCACACUGGAACUGAGACACGGUCCGGACUCCUACGGGAGGCAGCAGUGGGGAAUAUUGGACAAUGGGCGCAAGCCUGAUCCAGCCAUGCCGCGUAUGUGAAGAAGGCCUUCGGGUUGUAAAGCACUUUCAGCGAGGAGGAAGGGUGGUGUGUUAAUAGCACAUCAUUUUGACGUUACUCGCAGAAGAAGCACCGGCUAACUCUGUGCCAGCCGCCGCAGUAACAC